rnacentral:lncRNA from 1 species
AAACGUCCUGGAGUGGGAGGCGGAGGGGCUUGUCCGAUGGCCUCUUGGGUUCGGUCACCUGGUCCAAAGCCUCGAGAAGAGUCGGGCCCUUGUACCAUUCGAGGUUGGUCGACCUCUCGAUCAUGUUGUCACCCUCGAAACCGGAAAUGGGAACGAAGGGGAUCUUGUCAGGGUUGUAGCCGACCUUCUUGAGGUAGGACGACACCUCCUUGACGAUUUCUUCGUACCUCGCCUUGGAGUACUUCGGGGUGGUAGCGUCCAUCUAAACAACAGAAAAAAAUCCAUGAGACAUACCCUUCGAAAACUACAAGCUAUGAAUAUAAAACCAUACCUUGUUACAGCAGCAGAUCAUCUGCUUCACUCCAAGAGUAAAAGCGAGAAGAGCGUGCUCACGGGUCUGACCAUCUUUGGAGAUACCAGCCUCGAAACCUCCAGUGGUGGAAUCGAUAAUGAGAACAGCGCAGUCAGCCUUCCACAAACACAAAUAGAAAAAUUAGCACACAAAAGCAACAGUGUUAAGGAAAAAAGAGGACUCACCUGGGAAGUUCCCGUGAUCAUGUUCUUGAUGAAAUCGCGGUGACCGGGAGCGUCGAUGACGGUGCAGUAGUACCUGUUGGUCUCGAACUUCCACAACGCAAUAUCGAUUGUGAUUCCACGCUCGCGCUCGGCCUUGAGCUUGUCCAGCACCCACGCGUACUUGAACGACCGCUUGUUCAUCUCGGCCGCCUCCUUCUCGAACCUCUCGAUCGUUCGCUUGUCGAUUCCUCCCAGCUUGUAGAUGAGAUGCCCCGUGGUAGUGGACUUGCCGGAGUCGACAUGUCCAAUGACCACGAUGUUGAUGUGAGCCUUCUCCUUACCCAUAGCUGCUACCUGAAUCGAGCGACAGCCAAAGAUCCAGUGUUAGAGCAACGAAAUUGAAGAAAAGAAGCACUAGAUCUAGAAUUCUCGGCGCUAGAGUACCUGCGCAGAAGACGAAAGAAGGGCCGAGGAACCCUAGCCGCCUCAAGAGGGUUUCUCUCAAGUGAAGACCACAAACUUAUAUUCUUUCCAUCCGGGUUAGGGGUUUGACACUAGCCGUGCGAUCGCUAUCCGACGGCCAGGACAGUUUCCUCAUUGCAAAGCUAACUUACCGUGCCAAAUUAAGCCCAAUCUCGUACGGAUGGAAAUGCCAAGUAACGGGGCGUUUUAGGGUUUAUUGCUUUGGCGAUGGCGUUUUCCUCUCUGCGCUCUUCUUUGCUGCGCGCGCUUGGUAAGCCGUGCGCUCGAUCGCCGGAAUAUCAUGCUUUGGCUGUGUAGGCGCCACGAAAUGCAGCAGUGAAUCGGCGAGAUUGGGGCGUGUAAUGUGUCGUGGCUGCUCCGACGAGGCCUCGGCCUCGGACAUCGAGGAAUCGGUAGCCAAGGACGGUGAUCAAUCGGGGCGGAAGCUCCGUGCGCCUGCAUUCCAGGGAGUGUACAAGGUAUUGAAAUCCUUCGUGCUUGAACCAGUCCUUUUUUCUUCUUUUACGUUGAACGAUCACAGCUAGAAAGUUCUUCCAGCUCUCGUUCUAUCUAGUUCAUUGAAGUCAGCGUAGAUUGAAAGUAUCGAGGUUUUCUUUUCUUGUGAAUGUAGGCUGUGAUCGUGGGAGAACUUACGCAGCCACCAGCCGAGCUCGUUCUCAAGAAUGGAAACGCGAUCGUCACGCUGAUGGUCGCGACUGGAGGGCUGCGCGUGCAAAAGAAGUUGAAUGCUCCAACGAAGCAAAUCCACAAGGUGGUCGUUUACCAUCGGCGGCUCAAGGAUCUGGCGACGCAGAUAAAAAAGGGGUGAGUGGAGUUCUUGGUGUUCGUCCUUUUUCUUUCCAAGAUGUGUUUGUGCGAAUCGCCCAGGCAGCAGAUCUAUCUAGAAGGCAACAUGGAGUCGAGGGUCUUCAAUGAUCCUGUUACUGGCGCCGUCAAGCUAUCGCGAGAGAUCUCCGUGAGACAAAAUGGUAAGCAUGGUUUCUUCUCAUUGCCUUAGAACUUGGUCCUUGUGGUUCCUUCUUUUUCUCUCUAGGACGUUUGUUUAUGCUGGACGAUCUGGAAUUGAGGGGGGUCAAUCUCAAAGCUCCUAAAGUGGAGGAAGGAAAUCGAUGAAAACAAACGAAAAGGUAGUGUUUUUUUGUAACAUAAAAACCUUUCUCAAAAUGACUGUAAAUCUUUUAGCUAGGGUUUUUUAGCCAAGUAAAAUUUGUUAAAAUGCUUUCAUUCAAUUUAAACCGGAUUUUUUAAUGCUAAAAUUUAAUGCAACCACCCAUUAGUUUAAAUAAAUGUUUAAAAUAACACACUUUUUAUUCUUCAGAAGUUUGCAAUGUAUUGCAAAACAAAAGCUGGACAAACGUUUAUCCAAGCCAAAUCUUUGUUGUAGAUGAUUGGUUGCAUUAAGAAUUUAUAAUAUAUUGCAAAAAAAAAAAGCUAGACAUACCUUUAUGCAAGUCAAAUCCUUGCUGUGAUGAUUGGUUACAUUGAGAUUUUCUGAUCAUCAAAAUGACAUCAUGAUCAUGGGUAACCUUUUUCACCAAGGAGGUAAGGUGACAACACAAUAGGAUUUGGACAAGCUUGAUUAGGAAUUUCUAUUAUUGAAGUUUACAUGAUCUCUUUCCAUUGAAGAUGGCUGCAAAAUCUUGAAUUUCACCAUACUUGAGUGGCCACAGCAAAUGUAUAAAAACUGUUUUUUACUGUUAACAAUUGUAAAGAUGAUAAAUUGAUGGUGCUUGAAAUAUACACCAGGAUCUUCAGUUGGCUGCAUGAUCUCAAACUGUGUAUAGUUGAAGCAUCCUGCAAAAUCUUGCUCUAGAUAAACCCAACUAAUCUUUUAGGAACUUGAUUGAAUCUCUAAGUGUAUUGAUAAUUGCUUUGCAAAUCUCAUACACAAUCCCAACUACCGUACUCUCAUCAAUCCUAAAGAGCUCUAAGAGUGUUAUAUACUUAACUACAUUUCUUAGGUCAUACAAGGUACAAAUUACUUUGACUUGCACCAAAACUACUCUCUGAUAGUUGGUAGAUCAUACAAGAGAAGAUCAACAAAACGAAUGAAAGUUAGCUUUCCCAUGCCAAAGUUCUACUUCUAAUGAGUGUUGUCAUAAACUUACUCAAUGAAUCUGUUAAACUAUAAUGUUGAGUUGGCUUCACCCACCACAAGCCAUACAGAUCAACUCAAGAAGCAGCCCUUACUAUUAGCAAAGAAACUUAUUGAACAAUAUAACUACUCUAAUUGAUCCUCAAAUUCCCAAUCUAGAUCCUAAACUUUAUCUAAGUAAUUACACCUUUUUCUACCUUUGAUAAGUAGUUUGCAUGAACCAUAAUGCCUUCUGAAUAACCAGUAACUUGGCCAAUUUGAUCAUGCUCUUGAUGCAACAGAUGUUUCUGUAGCUUGCAUUGUCAUAUAGUUCCUUUUAAAAUAUUUUUGUUUCUAUUUUUGAACUUUGCUUUUUCUUGUAGGUUCUCAUUGAAAACCAUGAAGCUCAAGCUGUUCAGAAGUCAGAAGGCAUUGUGUAACAUGGAUUCCUUUACAAUGGCCCUGACUAGAAUCUAGUGAGUAGAAAUAAAAACUAAUUAGGUGGAAAUGCUUAGAAACACUUUAUUCCAGUGGCAGACAGUGAGCUACAAACAAAGGUUUCUAAUAAAAAAACUAAGCAAAAUUACACAUCUUUUAAACAUUGUUAAUCAUAAGCUCUUAAAUGGGAUUGUAAAUCCUCGUCACCCUUUGUCUUGUAAUGAAGAUUUUAUGCACGCAAAUCCAUGAUAAAUCUCCUCUCCUUGCCCUAGUGUUGAUUAAACAUCGGUUUGGAUUGCAAGGCAUAUGAGAAUCUUGCAACAAUCAGAUCCUUUAGAUUAAAGGAUGUCCAAAGUAUUGGAAUGUUAACUAAGAGGAUAAGUGAUCCAAAAAAGUAAAACAAGCUUUGACAGUUAUUUCAUAGGCAUUGACAUUCCAAUGUAAUCUUUUGAAGAAAAAACCAAUCACUGUCUGUUUUAUUGCUUAUUUUUCAAGGUAUGAAAUUGACUUAGUUUCAAACAAAACAAGUUGCAAAUUUGAAAUAUAUUGAUGAAAGGACAAGUUCAACUUGGAUCUCAAUGUUUUUCAUUUUCUUGGUGGCUUCACUCUUUAGCUCAUUUUUAUCAUCACUUGCAUACUCUGGUGAGGUGAUCAAAGAAUGCGAUGAAACUGAACAUGCAUAUAAUAGUCAUGAGACUUUCUGUGACUGCCUUUGGGAUAUUUGGGGAGAGUUUGGUGAUGCACGGGCACCUGGUGUUUAUAUUGCAAGACAAGGAGCAUUUAUAAUGAUCCUCACCAUUAGUAGAAUCCAUGAUUAUAUAGAAGAUGAUAUUCGUCAAGCUCUCGAGGAUAGUUGGCGUGAUUGUUUACAGUUUAACCAUGGCACCAGUAAGAUAACAAUGAGGGAUGCUUCUAUGCGCUUGUUUAUCCAGAACUCACGACGAGACCUAUUUUACGUGGAACAACAGUUAAGUUAUCCUUAUUGCCUUUAAAUUGACAAAAUAUAUAAAGUGAUUAUAUGGUCAUUAAUAUUAAUAUUUAUGGCAAGUUUAUCCUAGGGUGAGAUCGGAAUAAUGCCUCAAUAGAAACAGCUUCUUCAAUCUUCUUCUAUGGUUUGGACUCAAAGCCCUAGGCGAGAGCUCAAUCCCGUAGCCACCUUUGUCCUCUGAUCCUCUUGUCAGGUGAAGUGUCUCACAGCAUGUUACUGGUAUGAUAUAUUGAUUGAAGAAAUAUUUCAAGCUUUGGAAAUAAAGACGGAUUCACAAUUUCAAGGUACCAUAUUUCAGCCACAAAGUUGAUACUACUUAAAAAGUGCAGAAGGGCUAGACAGAUUUAUGAGAGUUUCAGAAUACAUACCGAGCACGAUGAAUCUGCCAUUGCUCUCGGAAAGUAUGGGAGAAAUUUACUAAUAACAGGCACGGGCCUGAUGUUUAUACCUCGAACAGUAUAGAAUACUUUCCUCCUCGUGUGUGUGUGCGUCUCUAUCGGGCAUCAUCUCUCAGGUAGGUUUUACAGUACCAACAGUUUCUACAUUUCAGAUAGACUCAUUUAAUCGUUUGUUGUAACAGGCACACCACCAGGAGUUUUCUUAUCCUUUCAUCAUUAAGUAACAGCUCCUUACUAGUGGACGAGUUUCAGGAGAUAAUUCAAGCUCUUGGAAGCGCUUUCUACCAGCCACUUACAGUCGACCAGCAGAUUUAUUCCUGGAGAGGAGCUGCCGGAUCCAAAACUUUGCCAGCUUUUCGUUGUCGUAAAAUGAUCGUGAGAAUCCACAUUCUUUUCAAAAAUCCACACGCAGUUCAUGGCGGACAGUCUCUUCCAUCUCGAAUUUAUCUUGCCCUUAUUUGUUUUUCGUUCCAUCGCGUCCAGUGGUGCUCCCUUCCCUUCGUGUUGUGUCCUUUGUGGCUGUAACGUUGAUGCGCCCUAAACCCUAAUCAAGAAUAUUCGCUUAGGGCUCUAAGGUUUGUUGUUGCGGGAAGGGAAUGCUGCUGCAGCCCACGCGAUGGCGGCAGCUAAUGGAUGGGAUCGGGCGUGCGGGGCGUCAGGUCGAUUCGGCAUUCUCUUGGCGGCAGCCGAUCCAUGGCGCUGGAGGGCCUGGGCCUCGGAUCGAGCCGGCAUUCUCUUGCCCGCGCCGGUUUUACGCAAUCCUCACCAUGGAUGACUGCAUUCCCAAGCCGCGGCCCAUCGUGGAGGCCGUUCCCAAGCCCAUGGACAGGACGUCGAGGAGGACGGGUCUCAUUGCUGUGAAAUGCGGCAUGACCGCGGUCUGGGACAAAUGGGGGCGGAGGAUUCCAAUCACUGUGCUAUGGGCCGAUGAUAACCAGGUUGUCCAAGUGAAGACAGUGGAUCACGAAGGAUUCAACGCUCUCCAGGUAAGUUUUGUUUUCUCUUGCAAAGCUUUGCUCGACUAUUUGGUUUUUUUUGUGUGUGUUUUUCUGGCUUCUUAGGUGGGAUGUGGCCAGAAGAAGCCCAAGCAGCUGAGCAUACCAGAGCUCGGCCAUUUCCGAUCGAAAGGCGUGCCGAUCAAGCGAAAGCUCAAAGAGUUUCAAGUCUCCGAAGACGCGCUCCUCCCGGUCGGGACUCCACUUACCGUGAGGCAUUUUGUUCCUGGCCAGUUCUUGGACGUCACCGGCGUCAGCAUAGGAAAAGGAUUCCAGGUUUUUGUUGCUUCUAGUUUGGAUCUUGUUUGAUGUUACUUUGUUUAUGUAUCAGGGUCCGAUGAAAAGAUGGGGUUUUGCUGGAAUGCCUGCGUCCCACGGAGCCUCGCUUUCUCACAGAAGCCAUGGAGCCACUGGAGGAAGAAAAUCACCAGGCAAAGUAAACAUGACGAUGCCAUAGAAGUCGAUGCUGUUGCUAAGUUUCUUUCUCUCUUUCAGGUUUUCAAGAAUAAAAAGAUGGCAGGACAAAUGGGAAACCGGAAGGCCACUGUGUUUUGCGUCUGGGUUUACAAAGUGGAGCCGCAGCGAGAUCUUAUAUGGGUCAAAGGACAGGUACUCACUCACGAGAAAAUUUGGUUUCUCUUGUCUUUCUUUCAGUUAGAAAUGCGAGCUCUCUCUACAGGUACCGGGUUGCAAAGGAAAUUUUGUCUACAUCAGAGACUCUUGGAACAAGCCGCCAGACGUUUCGCUCACUCCUUUUCCGACACAUUUCGCUCCUCCUGACGAAGAUCCUGCGACUCUAGAGGCACUGAUCGCAGAUGUAGGAGCCGAAGAUCCUUUCCAAGUUGAUGAAGAGAAGAAGUGAUCAUAGCACAAAGUUUUGGAAUAAUCCGCAUUUCUAACUUAUUCCAAAUCACGAUUCUGGGCUUGACAUUCACCAAUUACUGUUUGCUACCAAUUUCAACAUACCAAAUCUGACGUAGUUUCAAAUGAAAACAAUAUAUAUAUUCGCAAAAGACCUCAAAAUGGUUCGUGUUUUCACGGUUGCUCUACUCUUGAGCUCAUUUGGUACCGAGGCUAUUGUAGAAUGUGAUCGAAGUGAAAGUGUAUGUAACGAUCUCUUUUCAUAUUUCGGAUGACCUUAACGAUGCACAGGCGCCUGAUGUCACAAGAUUUGGUCUGUAAUGAUCCUCACAACCAUGAUCGAAUGGUGAGCGAUUUUGAGGAAGCUAUCUGUGACAUCUGGGAGGAUUGUUUGCAUGACAGAGUAGCAUAGAGAGAUAGUUCCAUGCCCCUCAUGAAGUGGACAACAGUUAUGUUUUAAUGGUAGGUAAAUUAAUAAUUUUUCUAAAAAAAACUUAAAAGAUGAUAAGAGCUUCUCUAAAGGUAAUAUUGUGCAGACAUGGAACCAUAUGUUUUUAUUCUUGACAACUUUCAAGGUACUAAUUCUAUAUAAUGCCUUCCAUGCACCUUUAACCUCAAAGAUGUUUAUCACUUGGAGCAUUUGAACUUGAAAAAGUUUUCAACUAUGAAUGAUGUUUUGUUUUGAGGAUGAUUGGGAUGGCAGAUGAUCAGGAUAAGGAUGGCAAAUGGAGGUGAUUCAAUAUUGCACACAUAACAUUGGAAAAGAAAUAUAUAGAUCCCUUAGUUUCAGAGGAAAUUCAUGAUAUUUCUCUACUCCUUGUAGCAACAAUAUGACUUUUUUUAAGAUAAGCCAAUGCAUUUAUCUCAUGUGAGAGGUAAAAUAGCACAUUUUAGCCUUGUGUUAUAGGAUGUUCACACCUCACUUAAAGUGAUGAGUUGGAGUAUGUUGCAAUCUGACAUUAUUUUGGCAUCAUAAACACAUUAGUGGUGGAGUGUUCUGUGACAAGUUUUGUGCAUUACAGAGCAUAGCAGGUGGCUUUAAGUCCUGCAGUGGAGUCAUUUCAGAAGCAAACAAAAACAAUGUUAAGUGUUCAUGCUUAUGGUUUUGCUUGACAUGAAUAAUUUGAGUAAUCAAUACUUAUAAGGGUAUCUUCUUAAAUUUUAUUAAGCCAAGGUUGUUUAUUCUUAUUUUUUAUUUCAGUGAAUCCAAGCUUUUUAGUAGAGGUUUUUAUAUCAAAACUUCAAGAAUUCUUAAAUAAUUUUUGUUGAACCUUUUAAAGCUUUAUCAGAUUAUUUUUUGUUGAGAAUUAUUGAGAUUUAUUCUUGCACAGUGUCUGAGGUGUAUGUUCCAUUUUGCAUCGUGAGGGACUGUUGAUACUCUAUUGUCUGCUUGCGAACUUUAGAAACGCAUCACCAACAUCCUUGAAUCCAUGGGCUCCAUCAUUUUCAUUUAUUUAAAUUUGUCAUCAGAGUGGUUAAUGUGUCAUUGUUGAAGCAUAUUUCUGCUGGAGGCUGGAAAGCUCCAUGUACGCCCAUCUUUUCACAAGCUUUAAGGGCUCUCAUCUUUUCCAGAGGUUCAAGCCAUGGCAAAGCUUGGAGCUCUCAUAGUUUUCCUUUCCUUCUUCUUCUUCUUUGCUCUUUCCUUGGCUUGUGAACUCCCUCGAGUUCCUAUGCAUCUCAGCAACAUGGCACUGAUUUGAUCCAAGCAUCAUCUCUCUUUCGGUUUUGAUCUUGUGUAACAUUUUCUUUUUGUUGAUUUAUAGAAUCCCAGUCCAAGCUCAAGGGCGAGGGCAACUACUCUGUACUGAGAAUCUUCUACACGAAAGGUCCCUUAACACUCGAAGUCAAAAAGUCGUGGCUCUACUUUGGAAAAUGGGUCGAUGGAAUCACUGAUUUCACAGUUGGAUCUCCUGAUGGCCUCAAGAUGACUGCGUGGGGCGAAUCUAUGCCAGUGAGAGGUCCGCGUCCCCCACCGGUACCCAGGGCUCCUUUGAUAUUCACGGGACCGAUGGCCGGAAGGUAGUAUAUGUCUACUGGUACGUUUCUUAUGGUGGAAUGGAAGUAUACCGCACGAGAUAGCCGGUUCAAGGUGACGACCACAAGGAUUGGAGAAUCUUAUCUGGACGUGACUAUGGUGAUCACAUACAUUGCCAAGAAGCUAUUGCUUGAAACUUUGUGUUUGAGUAAGAGUUCCUUAUGAUAAAAAGCUUUGUUGAGCUUGUGAUGUAUGGCGCAGCGAAUUUUGGUAUUUUUGAGCUUCGCAUCUCCCACAGUUCCAUUCCAAGAGUCAAUUAAAUGGCUUGAAGUUAGAAAGUGACUAUCGUGAUCGCCGUUAGAUUUGAAACUAUCUCAAAACUCUCAUCCAAGGACGAAACCACCUGCUAAAAACAGGCAAAGGAAAAAAAACUCGUUGGAAAUCAACAAAGCCAAGAAGAAGACAAUUUAUAACUUUGUAAAUCAAAUGAAGAAUGCAAUAAGUCCAGUUUUUAAUUAGUGCAAUUAUCCUAGGCUUGACAUGCUCGCGUUAUUAGAGUUUUCACUCCACAGAACGUCUCCUCAACUUAAGAUGCUGAGAGUCAAAUAAUGUGGUGUCCCACAUACACGUAUCUCGCUUGUUUUUUCGCUGUCUAUUCAUGCCUUGGUGGUUGUAAUGUUAAUACAGUCCUCUUUGCAUAACAAGAUACAAAAAAAUUAAUGUGGAGAGCGAGUGAUUGAUUGUCUCCAAAUCCAUGGCUGGUGGCAGCAGUGGCAAGGAUAAGGACGGGGUAGAGGGGAAUUGUCUCCAAAUCCAUGGCUGGCGGCGGCAGUGGCAAGGAUAGGGACGGGGUAGAGGGGAUAUCUGAUAUCUAUUUUGUGUAAUAAGGUUUGGCCAAGUGGAAUAUGGUUAUUGCAUGAAACAUUUGGUGGAGUGAUCAUUUUGGCCGAGCUGGGAUGUGGAGCGGUCUUGAUGUUAAAGGGCUCUUCAACGUGCUGAAUAAGAGCUUGCUGCCCACUGUCCUUCAUAAGAUACGUGAUAUGCAUGUGAAUUCUACAGGAACAAAAUGGGAGUCCCGCAUCUAAGAUUCCGAGACUUGAAACUCUUCAAGCUUUCUCUUAAUCGUACACGGAAAUGGCCGAGCUGUGGCAAGCUAAGCUGCCUGGGCACAGCCCACCUAACGAGCCAGGAAAAAAAGAGCAAUAGAAAACAAAAGAACAAACACUUACCUGGAGAGCCUUGAAUGUUUCGUGAUCCACGGUCUUCACCUGGACAACCUGGUUAUCAUCGGCCCAUAGUACAGUGAUUGGAAUCCUCCGCCCCCAUUUGUCCCACACCGCGGUACUGGUCAUGCCGCAUUUCACACCUGUCCUUCUAGCCAUGAGCUUGGGAAUGAUAGCCAUGAGUGAGCUUAUCGAGGGAGCAGCUGCGACAACAAGGAAACGUCCACGGACGGGACACCAAGAAGAAACAGGAAGGCUUGCUUGCAAGAAAGUGAAGCCAAAGUAGAACAAUGUUGCUCGACGAAGCUCGUCUUAACGGACUGUGGCUCGUCUGUUAACUUGAUCUAGCUGUUGGCAGCCGUUGGAUGAAGUCAGGUUCUCAGCGAGAACGUGGCUGACAACUGCCAGGUUCAGCUAUCAACUGCCAAUUCUAGAGAACCCUCUCAUCCUCGAAUAACGUUAUUCCACGUGUUCGCUAAUGGUCUCGCCACAGCUAAGGCCAUUCCCCGGGCACGGGCUCGCUCGUUCCCUCCAGAACGCGCUCGCCGGGCUAACGCCCGGCUUGCCCGUUCUGGGCGGGAACGUGCUCGCCUUACCCGGGAACUCCUUCAUCAUUCGGAUGUGCUCCCAGUCAGAAGGCCGAUAAGCUGGCUGGAGAUCUCUUUUCUACCGGACAAUUCGAUUGUCUUCAAGCCGGAAGAGCUGUCGAGCGCGCCUGCUGAAGUUCUCGGUCGUAGUAGCCAUGGUGCUUCAGAUGGACGGCGAGAAGGACUCGCCAAGGACAAAGCAGCGUUCACUAGAAACUUUUGUUCCAUUCAACUUCCAAGCAUACUUCCUCUCUGAGGCCAGUACCGCCCGGGGGGGGGUGGGAGGGGGUGGGGACGAGAGAACACGAGAAGCUCGCGUCAUAUCGGACUCCUCACCUUUGGAAGUUUAUCUGAUCGCCUUACAUCCAUUUCUUCUCCGCAGAGAGAAGUGGUCGAAGAUUUCCACCGUUUUGCUCACUCCUUUUCCGACACAUUCGCUCUUCCUGCGACUCUCGAGGCGUUGACCGCAGGUGUCCCAGCCCACGAAGAGAAGAAGAAAUGAUCAGAGCACAACCAAAGUUUGGACCAGUGGGCCCUUUUAACUUCUUGUGAAACGAAGUCUUGACGAUUCUUCCACGGGGGCUUUACAUUUCAAGCUUUGGAGGAAAGACCGAUCACUCUUAGUUUUAUUGCUCGACUUUUCAACACAGCAAAGUUGACAAAAGUGAUAUAUAUCUUCAAAAUCUUCUCUUUGCAAAUGUAUAGAGAUGUUUUUUAUUUUUUUUAUUGCUUUGUUCUUCAGCUCAUUUGAUUCAUCGCUGGCAUACUCGAGUUUGGUGAUGCAGGAGUGCGAUCCACAACCAAGAGUAUACAUCCACAACGAGGAUUUUUGCUCUUGCUAUUACGAGGUUUCGGAUAUCUUUCUUGAGCAUCAGAUACCUGGAGUUUACGCCCACAGACGGGGUCCGUUAUUGAUGGUCCUCACUGUCUCUAGAUUCCAUGCUGGAACGGAGAGGGAUUUUGAGGAAGCUAUCGAUGAUAUCUGGGAGAAUUGCUUGGAGUUGGGGUAUGGCAGCAGUAAGAUAACGCUGAUGGAUGGUUCCAUGCGCCUCUCUGUGGUGUUUCGUCGAGAUGAACUGUUAAACGUUGAGCCGACCACAAAACAAUUUAGUUAUCCUUAUUGCCGUCAGUUUCACUGAUUGUUUGAGCUGUGACAACGAAUUUGCGGUGAAAAGUUAUCUAGAAUUAACUACGUUGUGAUGCAACUUGUGAUGAAAGAUGGGGUUAAUGCUUGCGUCUCACGGAGCCUCGCUUUCUCACACAAGCCACGGAGACUAAAUCUCCAGCCAAAGUAAUGCUUGAUACUGUUGCAAAGUUUCUAUAUAUUUCUAAAAUUUUUAACAAGCUAAAAUGUUGUGGGAGUUUAGAAAUGUCAAUCUGUGGGAGAUCUCUCAAAUGUUUUUUUUUUCUUGUUGGAUCUCAUUUUUCUCAUUUAGAUCUUCAUUCUACAAGACUUCUCAAAUGCUAGGUUUUCCAAUGGUUGGAUUAUUAUUCUUUUCACUUGCAUGCUCUAGUGUUCACUUUCUUCCUCCACACAUAACAAGAUUUAUUAUGUGCAUCAAAUAAUGAGCAUGGAAAACCUAUAAAAAUCUUACAACGAGAAAAAGCGUCCUGUCAGUUCUUCUCUGGACAAGCAGCACGCAAGUCUUCCUGGACCACUUUGAUACUCGGCCUCUCCGAGCGCUCCAAAAUGCAACUUAGCGCCAGAGCCAAAACAUCGUCGAUCCCCUGCGGUGGCUCUUGAUCCCUGUCGUAGCCAACUAGUGCCUGAUCGUAGCACUCCGGACCCCUGCCCUCCGAGACGAGCAGCUUCACCCAGUCGGUGAGGUCCACAGCUCCAGAGUUUCCAGAGAUGAUGUCUCCGGCACCUUUGCCCGUGACAAUCUCCAUCAGGAUCACACCGAAGGCGUAUAUGUCCGCCUUGAGAGUUGGCUUUGGCUUCCUGGCGUGUGCAAGCUCGGGAGCGCGGUAUCCCAGCGCUCCCGCGUUGAGAAUCUGGUUGGCUGUUCCAGCGGGUGUCAUGAGCCGGUGAAUGCUGUAGUCGGACAGCCGCGCUACGAGAGAAGAUCCAUCCAGUAGGACGUUGCUAGCUUUCAAGUUGCCGUGAGGGAGCUUGUGCUUGGUGUGCAGAUACGAAAGUCCGCGCGUAAUAUCGACUGCAAUGCGCACUCGCUGUGACCAUUCUAGUGGUGGAAAUCUUCGACCACUUCUUUCUGCGUAGAAGAAAUGGAUAGGUAAGGAAAUGCGUAGAAAGGGAAAGGCGGAACUUUUACCUGUAAGUCGAUCAGAUAAACUUCCAAAGCUGAGGUAGUCCGAUAUGACGAGCUUCUCGUGUUCUCUCGGCCCCCAGUAAUAGCCUCGGAGAGGAAGUAUGUUUGGAUGUUGAAUGGAACCAAACUUUCUAGCUUCACGAGUGAACGCUGCUUUGUUCUUGGCGAGUCCUUCUCGCAGCCACUUGACUGCCAGCAUGUGUCCAUUUUCGAGCGUUGCCUUGUACGAAGUACCAUGGCUACUGCGACCGAGAACUUCAGCAGGCGCACUCGACAGCUCUUCCGGCGUGAAAACAAUCGAACUGUCAAGUAGAAAGAGAUCUCCAGCCAGCUUAUCGGGAGAACGGACCUUCUGACUGGGAGCACGUUCGAGUGAUGACGGACCUUCGUCGAGCAGCGUUGUUCUACUCUUGCUUCGCUUUCUUGUGAGCAAGCCUUCCUGUUUCUUCUUGGUGUCCCGUCCGUCACCUUGCUCCGGAGAGCCAGGGACGUUUCCUUGUUGAGGUAGAAGCUGCUCCCUCGAUAAGCUCACUGAAGCACCAGCUUUAGCCGCAGAUGGAGGCCCGAACUCCAACCGAUGAGGACUUUUUACCACGUCACGUUCAUCCGAAGAAUUUUUGUCAGCUGCUUGCAAUCUGGAGUAGACGAACAGAGCGAUCGCAAUGAUGAUGACUGUUGCUGCUACACACCCCCCAAUCAAGCCGGCCUUCACUGCGGAUGAUAAUCCUUUGCCCCGCCUGGACCGCAAGGACGGGAUUCCAGCCCCGCUGCUUCCAGGUACUACAAGUCCGGCAUUGCCCGGGAAAAAAGACGACAGUGGGAAUCUUGAUAGCAAGUUUGCUGGUAAAUGUCCCGACAAGUCGUUGUUUGUCAGGUUCAACGUCUGUAAUGAAGAUGGAAGCUGUGCUGGAAUCCGGCCACGAAGAUGGUUAGACGAAAGAUCCAAAUUCUCCAAGUACCUCAACCGUGAGAGCUGACUGGGAAUGCCUCCAGUGAAGUCGUUUCCUCCCAGGUUAAGGACGACUAGUCCCGAUAGAGAAGCAAUUUCUUGGGGGAUGGAACCAUUGAGACUGUUGAAAGAUAAGUCAAGGACUUGUAACGGGGAGAACAAAACCGCUGGGGGAGUGGAAGAGAUGGAGGUGGGCGACAAGAGCUCACCGGGGAUGGCGGAAGAGGAAAGGAAGCUCACGACUGGAAUCCCACCCACGAGAUUAUUGUUUGCGACUCUGAAAAUGGUUAGAGACGGGGAGUGAAAAAAAUCACCAGGGAUUUCACCGUCGAGAUUGUUGGAGCUGAGGUCUAGCGCGGUCAGUUUGCGGAGGGAUGCGAGAGUACCGGGAAUAGGACCAGACAAGGCGUUGUGAGAUACGUUGAGGUACAUGAGUCGGAGGAGGUGUGCUGUUUCGUUGGAGAGAACGCCGUCAAAAGAGUUGCCGCUGAGGUCGAGAACCUGUAAGCUGUCCCUCCAGUCUUUCAUCACGUCCAAGUUCCCGGAAAAAUGAUUGUUGCUGAAGUCUACUAUGGCGCAGCUUCCCAGUCUUAUCGGCAAAGUACCCGAGAAGUUAUUCGACGCUAGCCUUAAGAUCGAUAGACUGGUGGCUGCCACCAUUCCAAUAGUACCUGCAAGAAAGAGAAGAGUGAGAAAUAUAAGCGACAGAAGAGAAGCAAACAACGUAAACACUUACCGGAAAGAUUGUUGAAGCUGAUGUCAAGCUCCUCCAGCACAGAUUCCGUGGCGAGAAGCGCCGGAGGUACAUAUCCCACGAAGGAAUUGUUCUGGAGUUUCAAGACACGUAGCGAGAAGACAAACGAAAACGACGGAAGCUUCCCCGACAACAAGUUGCUGCUCACGUCCAGGAUUUGCAGCUCGCUCGCAAACAAGCUCGCCGCGUUCUCGGGAGCCAGCUCGCCAGUAAACCUGUUGGAGCUGAGAUUUACCGAGCUGAUGCCUUGCGGGAAAACAAAUGGAGCACCCUGCUGCCACGGGAGCAACCCCGAGAGCUCGUUGCAGCUCAUGUCGAUCACUUCCAUGCGGCUGAGACCCAUGAGCACGGGAUCCACCUCUCCGGAGAGCCUGUUCUGGCGAAGAUCCAGCCGGUGCAAGCUUUCCAAGCUGCUCAUCUCUCUCGGGAUCACACCGCUAAACGCGUUCCACGAGAGGUUGAGCGAGACCAGCUGCCGCAACGAAGUGAUCGAUGGAGGGAUGCCACCCGAGAGCGAAUUGCCGCUUAAGUCGAGAUCUCCGAGCCGGAUCAUGCUCGCAAACAUAUCCGGGACCGGCCCCUCGAGCUUGUUUGACGAGAGAGAAAAGUUUACCACGCUGCGCAGGCCGGCAAAGGAGCUCGGGAUGGAUCCCACGAACUGGUUGGCCGACAGAUCCAAAAACUGGAGAGCAUGGAGCUCGCCCAGAUCCUCUGGAAGCUUUCCACCCAGAGAAUUGUUGCCGAGAAGCAGCGACGUGAGCCUGGACAGCCUGCCGAUCGUUCCAGGAGAGAUUUCCCCCUGGAGCUGGAGAUCGCCCAGUGCCAAACCAGUGACGCUGCCAUUGGAGCACACUACCCCGUGCCACUGCGAGGGGCAGCCCGACGGAUCCACCCUGUUGGCAACCCAGCUGCUCCUGAUCAGCCCCCCUGGAUCGCCAGUGACCCCAUCCCGAAAUUUCAGCAGCGCCGAGGCAUCGUCCGCCAAGGAAUCCGCCCGCCAGGAGCUCGACAAGACGAGAAUUCCCACGACGAGCACCAGCAUUAUCCUUCCCAUCGCCCCGAGCUGCUGCCUUCCAGCCAGAUUUUCACCUCAUCUUCUCCCAGCUCCAGAAAUCAUGAGCCCACAACACUGGAGAAAAUGGGGCCCCUGGGCGUGCGCCGGGGCCCCAUCCGCUUGAAUCUAGUGCCCGCUCCUCAUUGCCGAUCGAAGAACACACCCCCAGCUCGGGAAUUUCGGCGGAUUCUAAGCCGAAUCGCGACCUACAUUGCAUCCUAGAUCCAAGCCAGCUCCACAAUCCAUACCGGGGAGGAAGAACAGCGGCACCUCCUCGCGCGCCACGGCUCCAGCCCUAACCCUCCCAGAGCUUCGAAGCCGGGAAUAUUCGUUGCCACUGUUGGAAUAUGCUCUGAAAGCGACCAAUCCCUUUGGAGGUUGGAGCGCAUUUCUUUCUUAACAGCUAGAUGGCAACUGAGGAUGUUGAUGUGCUUAUUCUUUUUACGAUGCUAUUCUCGCGAGUUCAUUCAAUGCAUCGCAUGAUAGAUGGAACGAUAGAAAUUUGUUUAGAUUGGUCGUGGUAGUUUUCUUUGGAAGAAUUUGACGAUCACGAUGUUCUUCCUGUUCUUCACUUGGAGGCGUGAUGGCACGGUGCAAAUUAUAUCACGCAGAAGUAGAGGUCGAUCUAUAUAUAACUUUCGUUUAGAUUUCUCUUCUCGUAUGUGCUGUCACUGGAGUGAGUGAUGAGUAAUUGGUUCCUGUAACGUUUUGAGAGAUCUCUCUCCAAAAUGCUUUCGCUCGCCAGUAAGUUGGUAAAAUGUGCUGAGAGUUUGGAAGAACCUUGCCUUAGAUCACCAGAUCGGCUGCUGGUGCUGGGGCGGAGGCAGCCACGAUUCCAUCUCUUCCUUGUGUAUCAUCCUGUUGUAGGUUUGAGUCUCUGCGUUCCAGCUGCAAAUCGGGCACUCGUCACUCGGGGCACCCUGGAGGAUCUGGCACAAACAUCCCAAAGUUACUCGAGAGUUUCGAGGGAAAAAGUCAAGAGAUAAUAAACGAACCCUGAGAACACACUGCUCGCAAAACGCAUGGUUGCAUUCCAGGCGAAUGGGAUCCACGACGAGACCUGUAAAGUGAAAAACAAAAAGUGAAACGUUGGGACCGGUAAUAAAGCGGAGUAACUUUUUACACUUACGAAAGCAGAUGCAGCAGUUGCCAGAAGCGUCGUACUGUCCAUUCGCAAUCAACGAUGAAUUCGGAGGCAAUCCCAAACUGUUUCGAAGCUGAGAUUCCAGGAAACGUUUCUUCAUCACUUCUGGAUCGCUGUCAAAAGAACCAUCUGAUCUGAGUAAACGUUCACAGUACAUAUAAAUGCUUGUACCAGUCACGGGUAUAAUCGAGAGGAAAGUCCGGUGAGAGCGGUUUAGUCAUGUAUCCCCCUCCUAAACACACAAGAACAAAAAUAUUACGAACUAACACCAGAAAGAAGCUGCCAAUCAAACCUCGAGGGAACACUUUGAGCUCUCGCAGUGGUACCGCCAAGUCCGGAUCAUUAAAGAACUGCUUCGUAGUAUUCUCGGGUGAAAGUAGAUCGGAAACGGCUUGCGCCUCCAAUUUGGCACGAGUUUUGGCUCGGACUUCGGCCAUUAGCAUCUCAAGCUUCUUCAUAGCCUUUUUUUCUUCCUCGAGUCUCCGAUCCGCAUCACUGCCUAUAAUGCUCGGAGCUGGAUCACAGAGUGCACGGUCACAUAUCAGUCCUUGAGCCGAAGAAAACAAAUACUUAACGUUUAGCUUCGUCCUUGGCUGGAUGAAGCAGUUUCUCCAUCUGCUUCCUGUGAAGUCAAGUUUCAUUAGCUUCGAGCUGGAGAAGAGACAAUUUCAACUGGAGAAUUUACGUACUUGUUCAUAGGCUUGGAUUUCUCGCGGUAUGGUUUGACGAGCACCCGCGCACCACAGACAUGGUGAGGAUUUCCUUCGGCCAGAAUCAUCCUCACCGUCUCAGCGUACGUGAACGUCACAAACCCAAACAUUCGCUUGUGCUGGGUUGGAAUUCUCACGUCUUCCACGGGACCGUAAGCUCUGCACAGUAAAGUUUCGUAUCGCUCCUCUUGUAGCGAAGGAAUUAAACACAACGUACCGGAAGUGUGUCGCGACGUCCUCCUCGGAGAAAUUGCUAUCGCAUGGAAACGUGAGAUAGAUUUGUCUGGAGCAAGGGCUUGGAUCGUUACAUUCGUCCAGAUCCACCUUGUGAGCGCUGUAUUUUGGAACAUCCUCCGCGAGCAUGAGAGCGUGCUGCCGAUGGGGCCUGGGAAAGGAAAGAAAGAAGUGAUAGAGACUGACGCUCGCAAAGGAGGAAGAAGAAAAUGCCCCAAGCAAACAAGAAAUUGCGAAGAAUCGAGGACUGGAUGAAAACUAAGCUACGAUUAGAGAAAGAAGCAUACCUAGCAACAAUGGCGCUAACAAGAAAUGCGAAGAAUCGAGAAGGAAUGGAUGAAAACUGUGAAAACUAAGCUACGAUCGAAGAAAGAAGCAUACCUCUCGACGACGGUGACGCUCUGGAACUUGCUAAGAAGCUUUGUGAGGGUGUAGCCCGGCUUCGCGUGGCGCUGGCUCUCGGAGACAUAGCCAUCGGCUUCCAGCCAGCGGCCAUACUUCUCGAAGUAAAUCUGCGGCAGCGAGGAGACGGAGAUGGGAACGCCUUUGCGCGAGCGCAAGAGCUCCUGGAGCUGGAAUUCCAGGCGCUCCAUCGACAAGAACUGAUCUUUCGGCGGGGAAUCCGACUGGAGCAGCGCGGAAUCGUGGAUGAAGCGGCAGCUGCUCCCGUUCUUGCAAAAUCCCUUGGCAAAAUACAUGCAUGGCUUGGGGGGAUCCUCGUCGGGCGCCGGAACCGCGAUCUUGGCUGGAGCUUUGCUUCUGAAACCAUUGGCCUUGGUAGCCGAUGAUCCACCGAACUCGCCGAUGCCACCGAUCGUUGCCAGAUGAUUCUCGUUGCAGAAGAGCUCCUUCUUGGCCUUGGCGACGGUCGAUUUGAGCUCCGGAUCCGUGCUAAAGGCGAGGCUAAACAUAUCCGAGUUCUUGAGCAGCAGAUACCCCAUCACUCGAUUCACAUUCUCCGCAUCGAUCGCCUUGACCCUGGCGAACACGAUCUGAGCCGCCUCGCACGAAUCCAUCGCUCGAUCGCUGGAGGAGAGGAGCACGCGCCGCUGCUACUGCGAUGGCGCCGUCGAUCAAUCCGCUCCUGGAGCUCGAGCCUCGAAAUAUUUCGAUCGAUCGAUCGAAAUAAUCACCCCUCCUUCCUAUCACUCCGCAAGAACAAGAACGAUCGCUCUGACAAAGCUGCGCGUACAGACAUAAUGAAACGAGGUCGUGCGUAGCGUGUUAACAAAACCACCGCUACCUCUAGAUUUGGCGGGACUUUUAAAACUACUAAAAUAACCUAAUAUUCAAAUAAAUAAUAGGAAAGAAGAAUGCAAACAGCGUGCCUACAAAACUGCUAACUAGAAGAUCCACAACAAAAAAGAAAACUCCGACAAAACGAGGACGUCCAAAUAGUUGUACGGUGAAAUAACUCGGUGGUACGGCAUUAGAACUUCUCCCUCUUUACUUCUUCUUGGCGGCCGCCUUGGUCACCUUGGCACCGGUGGGUUCCUUCUUCUCCACGGCCUUGAUCACUCCCACUGCCACCGUCUGCCUCAUGUCACGCACCGCAAAGCGUCCCAAUGGAGGAUACUCCGCGAACGUCUCCACAACCAUGGGCUUCGUCGGCAGCAUCUUCACGAACCCAGCGUCACCGUUCUUCAGGAACUUCGGUUCCUGCUCCAGCUCCUUUCCGGAUCGCCUGUCCACCUUGGUCAGGAGCUCGGCGAACUUGACAGCGAUGUGAGAGGUGUGGCAGUCGAGCACCGGGGUGUAGCCGUUUCCAAUCUGUCCGGGGUGGUUCAUGAUGAUCACCUGGGCAGUGAAGCUGGCAGCCUCCUUGGCCGGAUCGUUCUUCGAGUCGGACGCCACGAAACCACGCUUGAGAUCCUUCACCGCGACGUUCUUCACGUUGAACCCGACGUUGUCACCGGGAAGUGCCUCCACAAGGGACUCGUGGUGCAUCUCCACGGACUUCACCUCAGUCGUCAGUCCGGUUGGGCCGAAAGUCACCACCAUACCGGGCUUGAGGACUCCGGUCUCCACUCGUCCCACGGGGACGGUUCCAAUUCCUCCGAUCUUGUAAACGUCCUGGAGUGGGAGGCGGAGGGGCUUGUCUGAUGGCCUCUUGGGCUCGGUCACCUGGUCCAACGCCUCGAGAAGAGUCGGGCCCUUGUACCAGUCGAGGUUGGUCGACCUCUCGAUCAUGUUGUCACCCUCGAAACCGGAAAUGGGAACGAAGGGGAUCUUGUCAGGGUUGUAGCCGACCUUCUUGAGGUAGGACGACACCUCCUUGACGAUUUCUUCGUACCUCGCCUUGGAGUACUUGGGGGUGGUAGCGUCCAUC